rnacentral:rRNA from 1 species
AUUGAACGCUGGCGGCAGGCCUAACACAUGCAAGUCGAACGAGUGGCGGACGGGUGAGUAAUGUCUGGGAAACUGCCUGAUGGAGGGGGAUAACUACUGGAAACGGUAGCUAAUACCGCAUACCAUCAGAUGUGCCCAGCUGGGAUUAGCUAGUUGGGGGGGUAACGGCGCACCAAGGCGACGCUCCCUAGCGGGUCUGAGAGGAUGCCCAGCCACACUGAAACUGAGAAACGGUCCAGACUCCUACGGGAGUCAGCAGUGGGGAAUAGUGCACAAUGGGCGAAAGCCUGAUGCAGCCAUGCCGCGUGGAUGAAGAAGGCCUUCGGGUUGUAAAGGACUUUCAGCGGGGAGGCGUUACCCGAAGAAGAAGCACCGGCUAACUCCGUGCCAGCAGCCGCGGUAAUAC